rnacentral:rRNA from 1 species
GACGAACGCUGGCGGCGUGCCUAAUACAUGCAAGUCGAACGCACAGUUUAUACCGUCGCUUGCUGCACGAUAGACUGUGAGUUGCGAACGGGUGAGUAACGCGUAGGUAAACUGCCUGGUAGCGGGGGAUAACUAUUGGAAACGCUAGCUAAUACCGCAUAAUAUUAAUUAUUGCAUGAUAAUUGAUUGCAAGUUGCAAUUGCAUCACUACAAGCUGGACUUGCGUUGUAUUAGCUAGUAGGUGAGGUUUCGCCUCACCUAGGCGGCGAUAGGUAGCCGACCGGAGAGGGUGAGUAGCCGCACUGAGACGGAGACACGGCACAGACGCCGACGGGUGGGAGCAGGAGGGAAUCGUGGGCAAUGGGCGAAAGACUGACCGAGCUACGCGGAAGCCGGGAAGAAGGUUGUCGGGUGGGAAAGGUCGGUCGUAGGGGAAGAAACGGCGUGAGAGUGGAAAGUUCACACUGUGACGGUAACGUACCAGGAAGGAACGGCUAACUACGUG